rnacentral:miRNA from 1 species
CGACAACAGUCUGUAAGCUGUC